rnacentral:rRNA from 1 species
GAUGAACGCUGACAGAAUGCUUAACACAUGCAAGUCAACUUGAAUUUGGGUUUUUAACUUAGGUUUGGGUGGCGGACGGGUGAGUAACGCGUAAAGAACUUGCCUCACAGCUAGGGACAACAUUUGGAAACGAAUGCUAAUACCUAAUAUUAUGAUAAUAGGGCAUCCUAUAAUUAUGAAAGCUAUAAGCGCUGUGAGAGAGCUUUGCGUCCCAUUAGCUAGUUGGAGAGGUAACGGCUCACCAAGGCGAUGAUGGGUAGCCGGCCUGAGAGGGUGAUCGGCCACAAGGGGACUGAGACACGGCCCUUACUACUACGGGAGGCAGCAGUGGGGAAUAUUGGACAAUGGACCGAGAGUCUGAUCCAGCAAUUCUGUGUGCACGAUGAAGUUUUUCGGAAUGUAAAGUGCUUUCAGUUGGGAAGAAACAAAUGACGGUACCAACAGAAGAAGUGACGGCUAAAUACGUG